rnacentral:pre_miRNA from 1 species
GAUUUUGACUGAAAAAGUCGUCAAUAACAAAGUUGUAUAACUCAUCAAGUUCUAUAACUUCUAUUUUGGUUAUUUCUUUAUCUGACAAAGUGAUUUAUAAGAUUGUUCACAAAAUGUACAUCUCUUAAAAACUAUACAAGAUAUGUAUAUUUUGUGAACAAUCUUAUAAAUCACUUGUCGGAUGAAGAAAUGACCAAAAUAGAACUUAUAGAUCUUGAUGAGUUAUACAACUUUGUUAUUGAUGACUUUUUCAGAUGAAAUC